rnacentral:rRNA from 1 species
GAUGAACGCUAGCGACAGGCCUAACACAUGCAAGUCGAGGGGCAGCACAUGAGUAGCAAUACGAUGGUGGCGACCGGCGCACGGGUGAGUAACACGUAUGCAACCUACCUUCUACCAGGGGAUAACCCGUUGAAAGACGGACUAAUACCCUAUAAUACAGGGGCUCCGCAUGGAGAUAUUUGUUAAAGAUUCAUCAGUAGAAGAUGGGCAUGCGCAUGAUUAGCUAGUUGGCGGGGUAACGGCCCACCAAGGCAUCGAUCAUUAGGGGUUCUGAGAGGAAGGUCCCCCACACUGGUACUGAGACACGGACCAGACUCCUACGGGAGGCAGCAGUGAGGAAUAUUGGUCAAUGGGCGAGAGCCUGAACCAGCCAAGUCGCGUGAAGGAGACUGUCCUAUGGAUUGUAAACUUCUUUUGUACGGGAAUAAAGUGGGCUACGUGUAGCCUUUUUGUAUGUACCGUACGAAUAAGGAUCGGCUAACUCCGUGCCAGCAGCCG